GACGAGCCACACGAACGUUAUUCGGAAUUACUGGGCGUAAAGGGUGCGUAGGUGGUGAGGUAAGUCGGAUGUGAAAUCUCCGAGCUCAACUCGGAAAUGGCAUUGGAAACUACCUUGCUAGAGGGUUGGAGGGGGGACUGGAAUGCUUGGUGUAGCAGUGAAAUGCGUAGAUAUCAAGCGGAACACCAGUGGCGAAGGCGAGUCCCUGGACAACUCCUGACACUGAGGCACGAAAGCUAGGGGAGCAAACAGG
rnacentral:rRNA from 1 species